AGAUAUAAAUGAAUGUGAUGGCAAUACAGAUUCCUGCCACAGAACGCUAGCUGUUUGUACAAAUACAUUCGGAAGUUAUACUUGUCGAUGCAAACUAGGAUACGCAGGGGAUGGUCGCAGCUGCAAAGGUCAGUGAUGAAAAUAUGAAUUUUUGAAGGUAAUUGGAUGCAAAUCUUUGCUAUUUUCCUAUGGGUUAAUUAAUAGUAAAAGUGCAAGAGGCUCCAUGCGUCUCUAUAUUUCGUAAAAAUUUAAUGUUGCUAUUUCAGUCAAAAAAUUGGGUCACAUACUAAUCACAGUCCGGCUUUCUUAUGCUUAAAAUAUCCAGCACGCAUUUAUUAUUAUAUGCUCUCCUUUAGCUUCAGUCCAAUCUUCAUUGAAGUCCGGUCUACAGUCGGUACUCGCCGAUGCCAUUUUCAUCAUUUAAGAUCUACUUAAUCACAAACCAAUCCAGAAUUAAAACUUACCAAGGUAUAAAAUUUACGUUCCAUGCAGGAAAUGAAAAUAUAAUGCACAUGCCUUCUACUAGUCAGAAUCCAAGUGCGGGAGGGGGGUGGUAUUUCGCCUGGGGGACCGCCCCCUCCUCUCUGCCUACAUCAUAGCAGAACAAUCUUUGAAACUUGCGCUCUCUUAAAUAUAUUCCAAUGAAGUGAUUCACAAUUAUUUUUCGAAUGGUAUGCAGAAUUAUCAAGCCCGAAGUUUGUGUUAUCAACCGAAGCCAAGGGCUGAUGUUGAGAACACGAACCAAUAAGGACUUGAUAAUUCUUCAUACCUUGUGAAAACCAAAUGUUCAAUUCGUCAAAAUAAUGACCAGUUCCUUUUCCCAUUUGUCAAAAAUCUUUCAAAUCAGUGGAUCUAUCCAUCUCUACCCAGCAUUGCUGUCUUCAACUUCCAUCUUCAUAUCAUAAUCAUUGGAAGCUUCUUGGUGAAGAACUUGUCCAAAAGUACAUAUACGUACUCUCUUAAUUUCACGUGGAUGUGUAUGGCCUCUCUUUGAAGCUCGAGCGAAAUAUAUAUAGCUGCGUAAAAUUGUUAGCCAACUGUACUGCGUACAUGAACAUACAAUAAUAUCAAAAUAACAGUGGGUGUGGAACAAUCAUUUAUUUAUUCUCGCUUUAGUCACGUUGCUCCCAAUGCAAUAUUUCGCAACAUUUCCAUAAAUUCCAUUUUAGAUGUAAAUGAAUGCGCUGCGGAUAAUUUAAAUUCCUGCCACAGAACGCUAACUGUUUGUACAAAUACAGACGGAAGUUAUACUUGUCGAUGCAAACCAGGAUACACAGGGGAUGGUCGCAGCUGCACAG